CUUCAAAGCUCAAAUGGUCCCAAAAAACUAACCCUCAUCUCUAAUAUGGCCUUGGGCAACCUCCUCGAAGCCCAUUGGUCAUGAUUUUUGACCUAUAGGAAUGGAGAUUUUCAUCAUCCAUCUCCAUUCAUCUAUAUGGAUGCCUUGAACUCUCUUUUUAAUACCAAAAUCCCUCUUUAACUCUUUUCUUUACAAGAUUUACUCAAUAUAUGCCCUAAACACCAAAUUAAAGAAUCAAAAUAAGACUUCAAGUGUCACCAAUGUCUAAUAAAGUUUAUUCUAAAUAUUUAAAAUCACUA
rnacentral:lncRNA from 1 species